CCUACGGGCGGCAGCAGUAGGGAAUAUUGCUCAAUGGGGGAAACCCUGAAGCAGCAACGCCACGUGGAGGAUGAAGGUUUUCGGAUUGUAAACUCCUUUUGUUAGAGAAGAUAAUGACGGUAUCUAACGAAUAAGCACCGGCUAAAUCCGUGCCAGCAGCCGCGGUAAUACGGAGGGUGCAAGCGUUACUCGGAAUCACUGGGCGUAAAGAGCGCGUAGGCGGGAUAGCAAGUCAGAUGUGAAAUCCUAUGGCUUAACCAUAGAACUGCAUUUGAAACUGUUAUUCUAGAGUAUGGGAGAGGUAGGUGGAAUUCUUGGUGUAGGGGUAAAAUCCGUAGAGAUCAAGAGGAAUACUGAUUGCGAAGGCGACCUGCUGGAACAUAACUGACGCUGAGGCGCGAAAGCGUGGGGAGCAAACAGGAUUAGAUACCCGGGUAGUC
rnacentral:rRNA from 1 species